UACGUAGGGGGCUAGCGUUGUCCGGAAUCAUUGGGCGUAAAGCGCGUGUAGGCGGUCCGGUAAGUCCGCUGUGAAAGUCGGGGGCUCAACCCUCGAAAGCCGGUGGAUACUGUCGGGCUCGAGUACGGAAGAGGCGAGUGGAAUUCCUGGUGUAGCGGUGAAAUGCGUAGAUAUCUGGAGGAACACCGGUGGCGAAGGCGGCAUCCUGGACCAACAUUGACGCUGAGGAGCGAAAGCUAGGGGUGCAACGGG
rnacentral:rRNA from 1 species